rnacentral:rRNA from 1 species
GAUGAACGCUGGCGGCGUGCCUAAUACAUGCCAGUCGAGCGAACGGACGAGAAGCUUGCUUUUCUGAUGUUAGCGGCGGACGGGUGAGUAACACGUGGAUAACCUACCUAUAAGACUGGGAUAACUUCGGGAAACCGGAGCUAAUACCGGAUAAUCUUUUGAACCGCAUGGUUCAAAAGUGAAAGACGGUCUUGCUGUCACUUAUAGAUGGAUCCGCGCUGCAUUAGCUAGUUGGUAAGGUAACGGCUUACCAAGGCAACGAGGCAUAGCCGACCUGAGAGGGUGAUCGGCCACACGGGAACUGAGACACGGUCCAGACUCCUACGGGAGGCAGCAGUAGGGAAUCGUCCGCAAUGGGCGAAAGCCUGACGGAGCAACGCCGCGUGAGUGAUGAAGGUCUUCGGAUCGUAAAACUCUGUUAUUAGGGAAGAACAUAUGUGUAAGUAGCUGUGCACAUCUUGACGGUACCUAAUCAGAAAGCCACGGCUAACUACGUG